AUUGAACGCUGGCGGCAUGCCUUACACAUGCAAGUCGAACGGCAGCGGGGGAGAAGCUUGCUUUUCCUGCCGGCGAGUGGCGAACGGGUGAGUAAUACAUCGGAACGUGCCCUGUAGUGGGGGAUAACUAGUCGAAAGAUUAGCUAAUACCGCAUACGACCUGAGGGUGAAAGUGGGGGACCGCAAGGCCUCAUGCUAUAGGAGCGGCCGAUGUCUGAUUAGCUAGUUGGUGGGGUAAAGGCCUACCAAGGCGACGAUCAGUAGCUGGUCUGAGAGGACGAUCAGCCACACUGGGACUGAGACACGGCCCAGACUCCUACGGGAGGAGGCAGUGGGGAAUUUUGGACAAUGGGCGAAAGCCUGAUCCAGCAAUGCCGCGUGUGUGAAGAAGGCCUUCGGGUUGUAAAGCACUUUUGUCCGGAAAGAAAUGGCUCUGGUUAAUACCUGGGGUCGAUGACGGUACCGGAAGAAUAAGGACCGGCUAACUACGUGCCAGCCGCCGCGGUAA
rnacentral:rRNA from 1 species